rnacentral:rRNA from 1 species
UAGUCACGCUGUAAACGAUGUCGAUUUGGAGUUUGGGGGCAUGACCCUUGGGCUCGGAGCUAACGCGUUAAAUCGACCGCUGGGGAGUACGGCCGCAAGGUUAAAACUCAAAUGAAUUGACGGGGGCCCGCACAAGCGGUGGAGCAUGUGGUUUAAUUCGAUGCAACGCGAAGAACCUUACCUGGUCUUGACAUCCAUAGAAUCUUUCAGAGAUGAGGGAGUGCCUUCGGGAGCUAUGAGACAGGUGCUGCAUGGCUGUCGUCAGCUCGUGUUGUGAAAUGUUGGGUUAAGUCCCGCAACGAGCGCAACCCCUAUCCUUUGUUGCCAGCACGUAAUGGUGGGAACUCAAAGGAGACUGCCGUUGAUAAAGCGGAGGAAGGUGGGGACGACGUCAAGUCAUCAUGGCCCUUACGACCAGGGCUACACACGUGCUACAAUGGCGUAUACAAAGGGAUGCGAAGGUGCGAACUGGAGCGGACCUCACAAAGUACGUCUAAGUCCGGAUUGGAGUCUGCAACUCGACUCCAUGAAGUCGGAAUCGCUAGUAAUCGUGAAUCAGAAUGUCACGGUGAAUACGUUCCCGGGCCUUGUACACACCGCCCGUCACACCAUGGGAGUGGGUUGCACCAGAAGUAGAUAGCUUAACCUUCGGGAGGGCGUUUACCACGGUGUGGUUCAUGACUGGGGUGAAGUCGUAACAAGGUAACCA